GAUGAACGCUAGCGAUAGGCCUAGCACAUGCAAGUCGAGGGGCAGCAUAGAGUAGCAAUACUUUGAUGGCGACCGGCGCACGGGUGAGUAACACGUAUGCAACCUACCUACAUCAGGGGAAUAACCCGGAGAAAUUCGGACUAAUACCGCAUAAUACAGGGAUGCCGCAUGGCAAUAUUUGUUAAAGAUUUAUCGGAUGUAGAUGGGCAUGCGUUCCAUUAGCUAGUUGGUAAGGUAACGGCUUACCAAGGCAACGAUGGAUAGGGGAACUGAGAGGUUUGUCCCCCACACUGGAACUGAGACACGGACCAGACUCCUACGGGAGGCAGCAGUGAGGAAUAUUGGUCAAUGGACGAGAGUCUGAACCAGCCAAAUCGCGUGAAGGAAGACUGCCCUACGGGUUGUAAACUUCUUUUGUACAGGAAUAAAAGACAUUACGUGUAAUGUAUUGCAUGUACUGUACGAAUAAGCAUCGGCUAACUCCGUGCCAGCCGCCGCCGGAA
rnacentral:rRNA from 1 species